AUGAGGGUUUUUUUCUGGGGAAAUGCUGCCAAUCGGCGUGAGAUCGUGGUGGUCGCUCGCUUACAAUGCUUCCCCUGCCCUCGACCAGCAGAGAUACGAGUGGUGGUGUGCAGAGCUGCAACUGUUUGUGAGCGGAGCUGUGAUCCUCAGCCAUCGGAGCAGCGGUGCGUGGUGCUAUCAGCAUGGGCAUGCACUGCUACGAAUUGCCUGAGGCAGCGGUGGGGUGCGGUGAACAGAGGGCAGCUGUGCUGCAAGCGGCAGACUGCUGGUGGUGCUGCGAAGCCUCAUGCCGGAGUUGCAAACAGGGUGACAGGGUCACACGACAGUGCUGCGAGGGCAAAGGGCCGUGUCAGGGCUAUGACACGGCAUGGUGGGAGGUGGAAGGUGGGAGAUACAAGGAGCCAUGACACGGCGAGGUGA
rnacentral:rRNA from 1 species